rnacentral:rRNA from 1 species
UACGGAGGGGGCUAGCGUUGUUCGGAAUUACUGGGCGUAAAGCGCGCGUAGGCGGCUUUGUAAGUCAGAGGUGAAAUCCUGGAGCUUAACUCCAGAACUGCCUUUGAGACUGCAUCGCUUGAAUCGUGGAGAGGUAAGUGGAAUUCCAGGUGUAGCGGUGAAAUGCGUAGAUAUCUGGAGGAACACCGGUGGCGAAGGCGGGUCUCUGGGCAGUAACUGACGCUGAGGAGCGAAAAGCGUGGGGAGCGAACAGG